rnacentral:rRNA from 1 species
UACAGAGGGGGCAAGCGUUGUUCGGAAUUACUGGGCGUAAAGGGCGCGUAGGCGGCCUUCUAAGUCGAACGUGAAAUCCCCGGGCUCAACCCGGGAACUGCGUCCGAUACUGGAAGGCUUGAAUCCGGGAGAGGGAUGCGGAAUUCCUGGUGUAGCGGUGAAAUGCGUAGAUAUCAGGAGGAACACCGGUGGUGUAGACGGCUCACUGGACCGUAACUGACGCUGAGACACGAAAGCGUGGGUAGCAAACAGG